rnacentral:lncRNA from 1 species
AGGAAACACAGGCCCAGAUGGAAAGUGGCUUGCCCAAUCCCACACAGCAAGGCAGAGAUGGAUCCAUCCAGCUCUCUCCUCCCAGCCAGGGCUUAGCGACAACACAGCUACAGGGGCAUGAGAGGCUCAGAGGCCUGGUCCUCUGGCUGGUGGAGCCUUGGAGGCAGUAGUGAAGAUCCCUGGAAGAGGGAGGCCAUGAAGAGGGAUGCAGAUACCUGGCAAGCCCACCUCCCUUCUAUGCCACCUGCCAGCCUUCUCUGACAUUCCCAAACCAGGGACCAACACCGCCAAUCAGGGAAGAUUUACACGCAUUUAAUUAUCCUGCACUGCUCAGAUGUCAGUCUCUAAAUUCCUAACACAAAUGAACAGAAGACAAAAUCAUUUGCAGGAUUCUGAAAUGAAGUUUUUCAGCGGAACACAGAGAAACAGUUAAAUUUUGCAAAGCUGUGAAACUGGAGAGGGGGCUGUCCUCCAAAUCUACCAACCAGAGACCUGGAAGGAAUUACUUGCAUGAGAUUCAUUUCUCUCUGUCUUUCUCUUUCUCCCCUCUCCCCACCUAUCUGCACCAAACUCACCUGCCAAUUUCAUCAGCGAUACUUGAAUGGAUUUUCUAACCUGUUCCACUCCAAAUUGAUCAGUUAAUUAAGUUGAUCUCUACAAGACUGUUAAAGAACCAGGUCUUUUUCCUUUCAUGUUAUGCAGUUCCAAGUAAACUCCCUUUACUCUGGUAUCCUUAUCAGAGGCAGACAUCACAGGAAGUGGAGCAUUCCUUAUGAAUAUCUUAAUCUACACACAAAUAGAUUUUUUUCAAUGUGAAUUUGGAUUUCUAAAAGCACGCUUACUGCAAGUACAUUUUGCAGCCUCUUGUUUCCAGAUCAGAAUUGAGUGAUUUUCUAUUAUUUAUUUAUUUAUUAUUUGUCACUUUAAAAUAUGCAAUUCUUGGGAUCAUGCAGAAUUGCUGUAUAUUUGCUUUGAAGAUUAGAAUAAAACUGGUAGAUAAUGUGGA